rnacentral:rRNA from 1 species
GGUGAGUAAUACGUAGGAAUCUGCCCUAAAGUGGGGGACAACCCGGGGAAACUCGGGCUAAUACCGCAUAAUCUCUUCGGAGUAAAGGAGGGGACCCUUCGGGGCCUUUCGUUUUAGGAUGAGCCUACGUCGGAUUAGCUAGUUGGUAGGGUAAUGGCCUACCAAGGCGACGAUCCGUAGCUGGUCUGAGAGGACGACCAGCCACACUGGGACUGAGAUACGGCCCAGACUCCUACGGGAGGCAGCAGUGGGGAAUAUUGGACAAUGGGCGAAAGCCUGAUCCAGCAAUGCCGCGUGUGUGAAGAAGGCCUUCGGGUUGUAAAGCACUUUUAGUGAGGAAGAAAGAGUCAAGUCUAAUAAGCUUGAUUGUUGACGUUACUCACAGAAAAAGCACCGGCUAACUCUGUGCCAGCAGCCGCGGUAAUACAGAGGGUGCGAGCGUUAAUCGGAAUUACUGGGCGUAAAGCGUGUGUAGGCGGAUAUUUAAGUCGGAUGUGAAAUCCCCGGGCUCAACCUGGGAACUGCAUUCGAUACUGGAUAUCUAGAGUAUGGUAGAGGAAAGUGGAACUCCCGGUGUAGCGGUGAAAUGCGUAGAUAUCGGGAAGAACACCAGUGGCGAAGGCGGCUUUCUGGACCAAUACUGACGUUGAGGCACGAAAGCGUGGGGAGCAAACAGGAUUAGAGACCCUGGUAGUCCACGCUGUAAACGAUGAGAACUAGGCGUUGGGGGGCUUGUCCCCUUAGUGCCGAAGCUAACGCGUUAAGUUCUCCGCCUGGGGAGUACGGCCGCAAGGUUAAAACUCAAAGGAAUUGACGGGGGCCCGCACAAGCGGUGGAGCAUGUGGUUUAAUUCGAUGCAACGCGAAAAACCUUACCUACUCUUGACAUCCUUGGAAUCCUGCAGAGAUGCGGGAGUGCCUUCGGGAACCAAGUGACAGGUGCUGCAUGGCUGUCGUCAGCUCGUGUCGUGAGAUGUUGGGUUAAGUCCCGUAACGAGCGCAACCCUCGCCCUUAGUUGCCAGCAGGUAAAGCUGGGCACUCUAAGGGGACUGCCGGUGAUAAACCGGAGGAAGGCGGGGAUGACGUCAAGUCAUCAUGGCCCUUACGAGUAGGGCUACACACGUGCUACAAUGGGAAGUACAAAGGGUUGCCAACUCGCAAGAGGGAGCUAAUCUCAAAAAACUUUCCACAGUCCGGAUUGGAGUCUCAACUCGACUCCAUGAAGUUGGAAUCGCUAGUAAUCGCAAAUCAGCAUGUUGCGGUGAAUACGUUCUCGGGCCUUGUACACACCGCCCGUCACACCAUGGGAGUGAAUUGUACCAGAAGCGGGUAGACUAACCUUAGGGAAGUCGCUCACCGCGGUAUGGUCCAUGACUGGGGUGAAGUCGUAACAAGGUA